rnacentral:rRNA from 1 species
GUGGGGAAUCUUGCGCAAUGGGCGAAAGCCUGACGCAGCCAUGCCGCGUGAAUGAUGAAGGUCUUAGGAUUGUAAAAUUCUUUCACCGGGGACGAUAAUGACGGUACCCGGAGAAGAAGCUCCGGCUAACUUCGUGCCAGCAGCCGCGGUAAUACGAAGGGGGCUAGCGUUGCUCGGAAUUACUGGGCGUAAAGGGCGCUUAGGCGGACAGCUUAGUCAGAGGUGAAAGCCCAGGGCUCAACCUUGGAAUUGCCUUUGAUACUGGCUGUCUUGAGUUUGGGAGAGUUGAGUGGAACUCCGAGUGUAGAGGUGAAAUUCGUAGAUAUUCGGAAGAACACCAGUGGCGAAGGCGACUCACUGGCCCAAUACUGACGCUGAGGCGCGAAAGCGUGGGGAGCAAACAGGAUUAGAAACCCUUGUAGUCC